UAUGGUUCCCCAUAGAAGACACUCUUGGCUCAUUAUUACAUCUGGUGGCACAUUGAAUUCCUUAGUCUAUACAAAGUAAUGGUGGUUCACCUUCCAUUCUGUUUCCAACUACGUUUUAAAAUUUUUAGGUUUCUCAUAGAAAUGUCAUCUCACUUUGGCAUUUAAUACAAAGAAAAUAAGCUUGCUUCAGCAUGGUGGACUGCUGUAGCCUGUGGAGCUGAAAGCCUGAGGGUUUGGCUGUCACGAAAUCAAGGCCAACGAGCCACUCUGUGAGCAGGUUGCUAAACAGUGGGCUUGUCUGUCAGAUGUGGUUUGAAAUGCAGCUGGGAUCUUGCUGGGUUUCUGCAAGAAUCCCCUCGCAGUCUGAGCAAGUAUUAAUUUUCCUGCAAAGCAGAAUCAGCACCAUAGUAGGUGGUGUUUGAACAAGCUGUACCGGUGAUGUCCAUCUGUGUUGUAAAAGCACCAGAUCAGGGCAAAGAUAGGAAUGCAAGUGAAGAGAGAUUCAGGGUACCCAGCACUCAUAUCAACACAUCCAUCUGUAGCCACCUGAGUGUUGUUGCAGCUCCUGGGCAGCACCUGUAUUGCCAGUUCUGUCUGAUGGGCAGGGGUUCAGGAGCAGGAGCAUUGGGAGGAGCAUAUGGUGAGUGUCAUGGUGUUUGUCCUCAGUGCCAUUAAAUUAUUGGUGGUAGCAGUAGAGGGGACUGGGCUAAUCAGUGUUCUUUCAGGGUGGAUCCUUGCUAUGUUUUGUUCAAGGACCAGUGAGUUUACUUGUACUGGCAACCUUUCUUUGCUCUCGGGUCCCCUCUUAGCUAUUCUCCACUGAUGGCAAAAGUUAGCAGCCAGAGUGCACUUCAGCCAUGACCAAUGCCCUUCUAGAACAGAACUUGAGAGCAGGUUUGGGAAGAACGCUGUAUGGCAUUGGCUGAUUUGUUGUCCUAAAACUGGUCUCUGGCAGAGAUUUGGCUCUGAACCUAUUCAGGACUUGCAGAGACCAUUUUGAGCUUUAGGGGGCACCUCUUUGUUGGUACUUUCUGCCACAUGUGGAAGCCUUAUUUUGCUCCAGUUUACUGGAGCAUGUCCUUGGAAGCUUUUUCAAGUUCUUCUGCAUCUUCUCCAGGAGAGAAGCAUGCAAAUGUAUCCGAAAGUUCCUCUCUAAGAAAGUGUUCAUAGUUUGUCAGUCUUUGUUGUUGCCUGUUGUUUGCAUACCUUUUGGCCUGGACAGUUUUCUGGCUUAGAGGCACGUCUUUUUUUGGUACUUUUAUUUCUAUUAGUCACCUUUUGGUUUUGGAGAUGUGUAGCAGACACAUUUUUCAGGCACUUGUAGCAGUGUCAGGAGCAGAGAAACAGGCCAAUGAGUUUCUUAUUCUUGGGACAGGACAGUUGGGUUUUGUAGCUUACAAGCCAGUCUUUAUACUGUCAGAAUCACAGUUUUCUUUCUUACCCUCUGAGUAGUAAGUUAAGUCAUCCAGGGACUUGUGGUUAGAAUGUUUAAGGACAUGUUCCAGUCAAAGAAUUUGGUCUACAUAACUCUGCUUUCCAGUCAGAUGUUACACAAUAGUGAAAUCGAAGUCCCAGUUUAGUUUGAGUGGAAAAACAAAGCUUAAAUGAAAAAAGGGCAUCUUUCUGUAGGAAGUAGAGUCAGUUAGUAGAGACCCAUGAAUACCUGGUUUGAUUAUUAGUGUGUAUCAUGACCAAAAUAAAAGGUGUCUCUGGUCUAGGUGACUACA
rnacentral:lncRNA from 1 species